rnacentral:rRNA from 1 species
GGGGGAAAAAUUAAUAAAUAAAAUAUUUAAUAAAAAAAAUUUUAAUAUAAAAAUAUUUAAUGGGGGUUAAAGUAUUUUUUAUAGAAAAAAUUUAAAUUUUUAUAGUUAAAUAGUAUUGUAAAAGAAAUUUGAAAUAAUUAUUAAAAAAGAAAUUAUUAAAAAGUAAAUUUAAGUUAUUGUAUCUUGUGUAUCAGAGUUUAUUAAAUAAGGUUUAUUUUUUUUAAAUUUCUCGAAUUUAAAAGAGUUAAUUAAUUAAAAAAUUUAUUGUUUCAUAAAUAUUUUAAAUAAUUAAUUGGAAAUGAAAUGUUAUUCGUUUUUAAAUAUAUCUAGUUUUUUUAGAAAAAAAUUAAAUUUUAAAUUAAAUUAAAAAAUUAAAUUAAUUUUAAUUAAUUAAUUUUUUAAUUUAAUUAAAUAUUUUAAGGGAUAAGCUUUAAAUUAAAAUUUUAUAAUAAUAAUAAAAUUUUAUAUGGAAAAUUUUAUAAUUUAAAUUGUUAAUAAAUUUUAAUUUAUUAUAAAUAAUUUCAAUAAAAGUAUAAGAUUUAAUUUAAAUUUAAAUUUUUAUAAAAAAAUAAAAUUAAAUUUUUUAUUUUUGGUUAUAAUGAUAAAAUUAGUAAAAUAAAAAAAAAUAAAAAAUAAAUUAUUUAAUUGAUUAAAAUAAAUAUUUUAAAGGAAUUCGACAAAAUAAUAUAUUUACCUGUUUAUCAAAAACAUGUCUUUUUGAUUAUAAUUUAAAGUCUAAUCUGCCCACUGAUAUAAAUUAAAGGGCUGCAGUAUAUUGACUGUACAAAGGUAGCAUAAUCAUUAGUCUCUUAAUUGGUGACUUGUAUGAAGGAUUGGAUAAAAUAUAAAUUGUCUCUAAAGUAUAUAAUUGAAUUUAAUUUUUUAAUUAAAAAGUUAAAAUAAAUUAAAAAGACGAGAAGACCCUAUAGAGUUUUAUAUUUUAUUAAUAUGAAUUAUAAAUUAUUAAGUUAAUAUUUUAUAUUAAAAAAAUUAUUUUAUUGGGGUGAUAAAAAAAUUAAAUAAACUUUUUUUAAUAUUUUACAUUGAUAAUUGAAUUAUUGAUCCAUUAAUAUUGAUUAUAAGAAAAAAUUACCUUAGGGAUAACAGCGUAAUUUUUUUUUUUAGUUCAAAUAAAAAAAAGAGUUUGCGACCUCGAUGUUGGAUUAAGAUAAAAUUUAAAUGCAAAAGUUUAAAAUUUUUGAUCUGUUCGAUCAUUAAAAUCUUACAUGAUCUGAGUUCAAACCGGUGUAAGCCAGGUUGGUUUCUAUCUUUUAAAUAAAAUAAUAUUUUAGUACGAAAGGAUCAAAUAUUAUAAUUAAAUUAAUUUUAAUUGAUGGUUAUUAAGUUAUAAAAUAAAAUUAUA